UACGGGAGUGGCAAGCGUUAUCCGGAAUUAUUGGGCGUAAAGCGUCCGCAGGCGGUCUGUCAAGUCUGCUGUUAAAGCGUGGAGCUUAACUCCAUUUCGGCAGUGGAAACUGACAGACUAGAGUGUGGUAGGGGCAGAGGGAAUUCCCGGUGUAGCGGUGAAAUGCGUAGAUAUCGGGAAGAACACCAGUGGCGAAGGCGCUCUGCUGGGCCAUAACUGACGCUCAUGGACGAAAGCCAGGGGAGCGAAAGGGAUUAGAUACCCCUGUAGUCCUGGCCGUAAACGAUGAACACUAGGUGUCGGGGGAAUCGACCCCCUCGGUGUCGUAGCCAACGCGUUAAGUGUUCCGCCUGGGGAGUACGCACGCAAGUGUGAAACUCAAAGGAAUUGACGGGGGCCCGCACAAGCGGUGGAGUAUGUGGUUUAAUUCGAUGCAACGCGAAGAACCUUACCAGGGUUUGAUAUCCUGCGAAUCUCUUGGAAACGAGAGAGUGCCUUCGGGAACGCAGUGACAGGUGGUGCAUGGCUGUCGUCAGCUCGUGUCGUGAGAUGUUGGGUUAAGUCCCGCAACGAGCGCAACCCACGUCGUUAGUUGCCAGCAUUUAGUUGGGCACUCUAGCGAGACCGCCGGUGAUAAACCGGAGGAAGGUGUGGAUGACGUCAAGUCAUCAUGCCCCUUACAUCCUGGGCUACACACGUACUACAAUGCUACGGACAAAGGGCAGCAAACUCGCGAGAGCUAGCAAAUCCCAUAAACCGUGGCUCAGUUCAGAUCGUAGGCUGCAACUCGCCUACGUGAAGGAGGAAUCGCUAGUAAUCGCAGGUCAGCAUACUGCGGUGAAUACGUUCCCGGGCCU
rnacentral:rRNA from 1 species